rnacentral:rRNA from 1 species
UACAGAGGUCUCAAGCGUUGUUCGGAUUCAUUGGGCGUAAAGGGUGCGUAGGCGGUGCGGUAAGUCUCUUGUGAAAUCUCCAGGCUCAACCUGGAGCCUGCAAGGGAAACUGCCGUGCUUGAGUGUGGGAGAGGUGAGUGGAAUUCCCGGUGUAGCGGUGAAAUGCGUAGAUAUCUGCAGGAACACCCGUGGCGAAAGCGGCGCGCUGGACCACUACUGACGCUGAGGAACGAAAGCUAGGGGAGCAAACAGG